rnacentral:tRNA from 3 species
UGCGGGAUCGUCUAACGGUAGGACAGCAGCCUUUGGAGCUGAAUAUCUUGGUUCGAAUCCAAGCCCCGCAG